rnacentral:rRNA from 1 species
UACGUAGGGUGCAAGCGUUGUCCGGAAUUAUUGGGCGUAAAGAGCUCGUAGGCGGCCAACUAAGUCGGACGUGAAAUCCCUCAGCUUAACUGGGGAACUGCGUCCGAUACUGGAUGGCUUGGAUUCGGGAGAGGAAUGCGGAAUUCCAGGUGUAGCGGUGAAAUGCGUAGAUAUCUGGAGGAACACCGGUGGCGAAGGCGGCAUUCUGGACCGACAUUGACGCUGAGGAGCGAAAGCCAGGGGAGCAAACGGG